AGAGUUUGAUCAUGGCUCAGAAUCAACGCUGGCGGCGUGCCUCAGACAUGCAAGUCGAACGCGAAAGCUCCCUUCGGGGGGCAAGUAGAGUGGCGCACGGGUGAGUAACACGUAGGUAAUCUACCUUUGGAUUGGGAAUAACCACCGGAAACGGUGGCUAAUACCGAAUAAUGCAGCGGCACCUAAUGGUGACAGUUGUUAAAGCGGGGGAUCGCAAGACCUCGCGUCUGAAGAGGAGCCUGCGGCAGAUUAGCUAGUUGGUAAGGUAACGGCUUACCAAGGCGAUGAUCUGUAGCCGGCCUGAGAGGGCGGUCGGCCACACUGACACUGACAUACGGGUCAGACUCCUACGGGAGGCAGCAGUCGGGGAUUUUGGGCAAUGGGCGAAAGCCUGACCCAGCAACGCCGCGUGAAGGAUGAAAUCCUUCGGGAUGUAAACUUCGCAAGAACGGGAAGAAUAAGUAAGAGUUAAUAUCUCUUACGAUGACGGUACUGUUUGUAAGCUCCGGCUAACUCCGUGCCAGCCGCCGCGGUAAUUC
rnacentral:rRNA from 1 species